AAAAAGAACAACAUAAACCACCCAGGAUAAUCUCCUUAUUUCAAGAGCCUGAGCUUUGUCAUAUCUUUACCGGAUUAAGUCACAAUCACAGAUUCCGAGAAAUGGAACCUGAGACCUUGGAUGACCACCAUUCAGUGCACUACCCAGAGUUAGAAGGAACAUUGUAAGAAAUCGGCCAGAUCCCAUAAUGACACGGGAAUAUUCACAACGAUCUUCCAGGAGCCAAGCUUCUGAUGUUCUUACAUUUCCAGGGAUGAUGACAAGGUGUGCAGGAGGUUUUACUCUGGAGGAUGUGAGUUCACAGAAGUGGAAUGCAGGGAGGUUAGUUCAGAUGAUAAACUGAGACUCUACAACUUGUUUUCCUUUUUUGGUAAGUUAAUAUUUACCUUGGCAAUGUUGACAUUUCUGAACUUUCAUUUUGGCUUUCAUUUAGCAAUAAAUACUGUCACAGGAAAGCA
rnacentral:lncRNA from 1 species